CAUAAAAAAAGCAGUGACGGACAGACAGUCAGAGGAGAUGUCUGUAAGAGCUGCGUGCAGCUAGGAAAUAACGCUAAUAGACACUGCAGAUAAAUGCUUUUCUAUUACAUUAGUGAUGGGGAUAAAAUCCUUUUUUGGAGGCUGCCCGAGAACUCCCAUCUCACAAAAACUGAAAGGACCACAUUUGUAUUACGACUGCACAAGUGUAAGCAGCGGUAAAUAAGGAUAAGAUCCCGCUUAUGAGUGCACACUCGCAUGUGUUAAACAUCCUAACUAUCCCGAAAACACAACGUUCAGCAAAGAAGCGCCGGCCACCGCUGCCAUUUGGCUGAAGACACGCCUCCCCGGGCGCCCCUGGUUUUCAACACCCCGAUGAAGAAACCGGAAUAGCGAAAUGCCCCUCAAAAGUGAGGUGACUCCUCAUCCUCAGAGACAGUCACAAUCUGGCCUUAGAGAAGUGGAUUUCAUCUCUUAUGCUCCCUGAUCUGGAAGUGCAGUAUGUUUCCCCACCACCUUCUUCCACCAUUGAGUAUUUGCUCUUUGGAGUAACUGAGAGAUCCCAAUGAUUUCCUGCUCAUUCUGACCAGAAAGAGAAGCAUCUUUGGGUCCAGGAGCUUCUGUCACAUCAUCAUAACCAUCUUCCAGGGCAUUUCCAGGCAGUGGAGAGACAUCUGGAACAGUACAGGCUGAACAACCCCAGCCUCAUAGGAGAGGUGCUCCAUCCCUCUGAUCAUUUUUGUGGCCCUCCUCUGGACCCACUCCAACAGGUCCGUGUCUUUCCUGUACUGAGGUCUCCAGAGCUGGAUGCAGUGCUCCAGUGCACCUUCUCCAACCAGAUGGGACCAGUCCCUUCCCCAAAGGUGGCUUCACUCAGAGCAGACACAGCAGAUCCACAACCCAUCUGCCUGCAUACAACAUUAGCAUCUGCCACGUCCCAGGAAUCA